UGUGGGAGGGGGCUUGCCCCCGAUAGGGCCGUGUCAGUUUAUGCAUGUAUCACUGACCCACCGCUAUCGGGGGCAAGCCCCCUCCCACA
rnacentral:misc_RNA from 1 species